AGUGGGACCCGACCCUGUCUCCAGUGGGCGUCUUGGGCCCCGGCUCUAUUCUGGGCUGCGGGCCUGGGAAGGGCUCGCCGGGUGCCAAAUGAGCUGUCCUAACUCUGCGGGGCUGCAGCUUCCUGCAUGAUGCUGGGGAGCUUGGCGCCUGACCCAGGAUCUAGAAGGCACUCUGGGCAGGCCGCGCUCCGCCCACGAAGGUCUGGCUUACCACACGCUCCUCCCCAUUCCCAGUGAGCCGCUUUUUGCAGCACCAGGCGAACACUUACACCAGUGCUUUGUAAAGGAAUCUUAUUGUCCACCCCGUGUCUUGGCAAAAGAACAGUGAUCACACAGAUUCCUACUUGGGCUCUUUCCUUUAAUCUUCGGAGGCUGAGUUUGCCCAACUCAGGUUUAACCACCAAGGACUCUGAGAGCUGGCAGGUCUGAGUAACCCUGGUAACAAUUCUCUUCACCUUAUCAAAACCUGAGCUAAAACCAAUGCAUCAGCUGAUGAUGACAGCAGAGAGUGGCAGGGCUGAGGACCCAAAGUCAUUUCCCAGGCUGGCGGAGAAUAAACUGCCAGGGAGAAGAAUGAGAAGACAGGAGACAAACUGUUUGGAAAGCUAAAUCUUCCCUCUUAAUGAAUAAAGGUUUUUGCCUUGUCUUAAAGUUUCUGAGUCCUAAUUUUGGCAAAAUAAAUAACUUAUGGUAAUCUGG
rnacentral:lncRNA from 1 species